GGGUGGAUUUAGGUUUAGAUAUAGAGCUUUAUAUAGGAAAAAGAUCAAGGGGGAGGAGUAACGAAACAUUCAAGAACAACUUUAAAUCAUUACUAAUUGAGAAGGUAACGGAGAAAAGAAAAAUCAGACAUGGGAGAAGAUGAAGUGGAAGAUUUGGGGAAGAGAGAAGACGAAGCAAGUUUGUCGGUAUGGGCUGAGAUGGGCCGGAUAGAAAAUUUAAGAAAACCCACACAGAAGCCCAGUCUAACUCAGCAGCAGUGUGACAU
rnacentral:lncRNA from 1 species